GGGUCCUUGUGCAUUCUGACAUGUGCAUUCAGCCGAUCAUUCAAGUAGGAUUAAGGAAAUGCGUUUUUAAAACUCAAGCAGACUGGAUAUUUGUCUUUUAUCCUGUCAGAGUAAUCCAUG
rnacentral:snoRNA from 1 species